rnacentral:rRNA from 1 species
UGGCUCAAAUGAACGCUAGCGGCAGGCCUAAUACAUGCAAGACGAACGGUAACUAGAGUAGCAAUACUUUGGCUAGAGUGUCGUAAGGGUGCGUAACACGUAUGCAAUCUGCCCUGUACUGGAGCAUAGCUCCCCGAAAGGGGAAUUAACUCUCCAUAGGAUGUUAGAGUGGCAUCACUCAGACAUUAAAAUUACGAUGGUACAGGAUGAGCAUGCGUCUGAUUAGCUAGUUGGUAGUGUAACGGACUACCAAGGCGAUGAUCAGUAGGGGAACUGAGAGGUUGAUCCCCCACACUGGCACUGAGAUACGGGCCAGACUCCUACGGGAGGCAGCAGUAGGGAAUAUUGGUCAAUGGAUGCAAGUCUGAACCAGCCAUGCCGCGUGCAGGAAGAAGGCCUUCUGGGUUGUAAACUGCUUUUGUCAGGGGAUAAAAUUUCCUUGCGAGGAAAAUUGAAGGUACCUGGCGAAUAAGCCACGGCUAACUACGUGCCAGCAGCCGCGGUAAUACGUAGGUGGCAAGCGUUGUCCGGAUUUAUUGGGUUUAAAGGGUGC